rnacentral:rRNA from 1 species
GAUGAACGCUGGCGGCGUGCCUAAUACAUGCAAGUCGAGCGAACAGACGAGGAGCUUGCUCCUCUGACGUUAGCGGCGGACGGGUGAGUAACUCGUGGAUAACCUACCUAUAAGACUGGGAUAACUUCGGGAAACCGGAGCUAAUACCGGAUAAUAUAUUGAACCGCAUGGUUCAAUAGUGAAAGACGGUUUUGCUGUCACUUAUAGAUGGAUCCGCGCCGCAUUAGCUAGUUGGUAAGGUAACGGCUUACCAAGGCAACGAUGCGUAGCCGACCUGAGAGGGUGAUCGGCCACACUGGAACUGAGACACGGUCCAGACUCCUACGGGAGGCAGCAGUAGGGAAUCUUCCGCAAUGGGCGAAAGCCUGACGGAGCAACGCCGCGUGAGUGAUGAAGGUCUUCGGAUCGUAAAACUCUGUUAUUAGGGAAGAACAAAUGUGUAAGUAACUAUGCACGUCUUGACGGUACCUAAUCAGAAAGCCACGGCUAACUACGUG